UACGAAGGGGCUAGCGUUGCUCGGAAUUACUGGGCGUAAAGCGCACGCAGGCGGUCGCAUUAAGUCUGACGUGAAAAUCCUCCUGGCUUAACUGGGAGGGGUCGUUGGAGACUGAUGAUGCUUGAGGCGAGUGAGAGGGGUGUAGAAUUCCCGGUGUAGUGGUGGAAUGCGUAGAUAUCGGAGGAAUACCAGUGGCGAAAGCGACACCCUGGCAUUAGCCUGACGCUCAUGUGCGAAGGCGUGGGGAGCGA
rnacentral:rRNA from 1 species